UAGUUAGCUUCAGCUCCAAAAGCUGGGGCAGCUCAUCUGGGGCUGGUAAAACUAUUACGGCUUCACACCCAUGUCUGUCACCCUCCAGGACGUCUCUGUCCACCCGUCCUCACUCACUGGAUAGCCAUAUUUCUUUGCACUUAGGACUCUGAGAAGGCAAAAGUGGAAGCUGCAGUCUUCUAAGGCCUACAUUCUAGAACUCAGGUAAUUCACUUCUGUCACAUUUAUUCAUCAAGGUGCCUGCUACAUGCCAGACCCUGACCUGGGUGCUGAAACACAGCCGUGUGUCCUGGUGGGAUGUGAACACCCAGCAGUGCUGGGAUCCAGCCAGCCAGCUGGUGAUACGUUGGUAGCCAGAAACCAGCCGUGACGGGAGCCUUUACACCAAGGAAAUCACAAACACUACAGAGCCUCUCCCUCCUGGGAGAGCUGGUGGUCAAACGGUCACCGGCACAUCCCCGCACCCGUGUCUCUGAGGGUGAACUUACACAGCCAGGAGGAGGUACAGCCACAGACCUGCCCCAAAGUAGGAGCGGGUCCCGUCACGGAGUCGGACCAGGCGCUCAUCCGGCACACGCACGACCACCUCCUCGCCAGCGUCCAGGUGGGGAAACUGAGGCAUGGAGCCAUCAAGUGACCAGCCAAAAGCAUCAAAACUUGUGAGUGGCAUAACCAAGGAACAGAGACAGAGCGCACCCCGGGCCAGAAGACUUGUAAUCUCCAUGCUCUUCAGUUUUUCUCCAUUAAAAUGGACAUAUGAA